GACGAACGCUGGCGGCGUGCCUAAUACAUGCAAGUAGAACGCAGUUGCGAACGGGUGAGUAACGCGUAGGUAACUGCGUCAUAGCAGGGGAUAACUAUGGGAAACGCUAGCUAAUACCGCAUACUGUGAGAUGGACCUGCGUUGUAUUAGCUAGUUGGUGAGGUAAACGCUCACCAAGGCGACGAUACCUAGCCGACCUUAGAGGGUGAUCGGCCAAACUGGGACUGAGACACGGCCCAGAAUCCUACGGGAGGCAGCAGUAGGGAAACUUCGGGCAUUGAAGGAAGGCUGACCGAGCAACGCCGCGUGGGGGAAGAAGGUUUUCGGAUCGUAAAGAUCCGUUGUUUGAGAAGCGGUAUCUAACCAGAAAGCGACGGCUAACUACGUGCCAGCAGCCGCGGUAAUAC
rnacentral:rRNA from 1 species